CUCACCCCCAACUGAUGGGUUGGUCAUCCCUCUAAAUACCAUAAUAGCACCCUUCAAGGCCCUUCUUAGGGCUUCUUUCACACUUUACAACAGCAUAUUUUCUACAUUUUCCACCAUAUUGUAAGUCCUAUAAGGGUCAGUCUAUUAUUGUCCCUGAAAGAGUACAGUCAACACUCAGUGUCCAUGGAUUCUGCAUCUACAGAGUUAAACAGCCACA
rnacentral:lncRNA from 1 species